GACGAACGCUGGCGGCGUGCUUAACACAUGCAAGUCGAACGGAAAGGCCCUGCUUUUGUGGGGGGCUCGAGUGGCGAACGGGUGAGUAACACGUGAGUAACCUGCCCUUGACUUUGGGAUAACUUCAGGAAACUGGGGCUAAUACCGGAUAGGAGCUCCUGCUGCAUGGUGGGGGUUGGAAAGUUUCGGCGGUUGGGGAUGGACUCGCGGCUUAUCAGCUUGUUGGUGGGGUAGUGGCUUACCAAGGCUUUGACGGGUAGCCGGCCUGAGAGGGUGACCGGCCACAUUGGAACUGAGAUACGGCCCAGACUCCUACGGGAGGCAGCAGUGGGGAAUAUUGCACAAUGGGCGGAAGCCUGAUGCAGCAACGCCGCGUGCGGGAUGACGGCCUUCGGGUUGUAAACCGCUUUCGCCUGUGACGAAGCGUGAGUGACGGUAAUGGGUAAAGAAGCACCGGCUAACUACGUG
rnacentral:rRNA from 1 species